UACAGAGGUCCCAAGCGUUGUUCGGAUUCAUUGGGCGUAAAGGGUGCGUAGGCGGCUCGGUAAGUCGGGUGUGAAAUCUCGGGGCUUAACUCCGAAACUGCAUUCGAUACUGCCGUGCUUGAGGACUGGAGAGGAGGCUGGAAUUUACGGUGUAGCGGUGAAAUGCGUAGAUAUCGUAAGGAAGACCAGUGGCGAAGGCGGGUCUCUGGACAGUUCCUGACGCUGAGGCACGAAGGCCAGGGGAUCAAACGGG
rnacentral:rRNA from 1 species